GACGAACGCUGGCGGCGUGCCUAAUACAUGCAAGUAGGACGCAGUUGCGAACGGGUGAGUAACGCGUAGGUAACUACCUAUUAGAGGGGGAUAACUAUUGGAAACGAUAGCUAAUACCGCAUACUAGUAGAUGGACCUGCGUUGUAUUAGCUAGUAGGUAGGGUAAUGGCCUACCUAGGCAACGAUACAUAGCCGAACGGGAAGGGUGAUAGGCCACACUGGGACGGGGACACGGCCCAGAAUCCGACGGGAGGAAGCAGUAGGGAAGCGUCGGCAAUGGGGGGAACCCUGACCGAGCAACGACGCGUGAGGGAAGAAGGUUUUCGGAUCGUAAAGCUCUGGUGUUAAGGAAGCGGUACUUAACCAGAAAGGGACGGCUAACUACGUGCCAGCAGCCGCGGUAAUUC
rnacentral:rRNA from 1 species